CCUUCGGGUGGCAGCAGUGGGGAAUAUUGGGCAAUGGGCGCAAGCCUGACCCAGCAACGCCGCGUGAAGGAAGAAGGCCCUCGGGUUGUAAACUUCUUUUUUCAGGGACGAAACAAAUGACGGUACCUCACGCAUAAGCCACGGCUAACUACGUGCCAGCACCCGCUGUAAUACGUAGGUGGCAAGCGUUAUCCGGAUUUACUGGGUGUAAAGGGCGUGUAGGCGGGAGAGGAAGUCAGAUGUGAAAUUCCAGGGCUCAACCCUGGAACUGCAUUUGAAACUGUUUUUCUUGAGUGAUGGAGAGGCAGGCGGAAUUCCGGGUGUAGCGGUGAAAUGAGUAGAUAUACGGAGGAACACCAGUGGCGAAGGCGGCCUGCUGGACAUUAACUGACGCUGAGGCGCGAAAGCGUGGGGAGCAAACAGGAUUAGAUACCCUGGUAGUC
rnacentral:rRNA from 1 species